rnacentral:rRNA from 1 species
UACGAAGGGGGCUAGCGUUGCUCGGAAUUACUGGGCGUAAAGCGCACGUAGGCGGUCUUUUAAGUCGGGGGUGAAAUCCUGGAGCUCAACUCCAGAACUGCCUUCGAUACUGGAAGACUCGAGUCCGGGAGAGGUGAGUGGAACUGCGAGUGUAGAGGUGAAAUUCGUAGAUAUUCGCAAGAACACCAGUGGCGAAGGCGGCUCACUGGCCCGGUACUGACGCUGAGGUGCGAAAGCGUGUGAGCAAACAGG